AACGCUGGCGGCGUGCCUAAUACAUGCAAGUAGAACGCUGAAGGAGGAGCUUGCUUCUCCGGAUGAGUUGCGAACGGGUGAGUAACGCGUAGGUAACCUGCCUGGUAGCGGGGGAUAACUAUUGGAAACGAUAGCUAAUACCGCAUAAGAGUAGAUGUUGCAUGACAUUUACUUAAAAGGUGCAAUUGCAUCACUACCAGAUGGACCUGCGUUGUAUUAGCUAGUUGGUGGGGUAACGGCUCACCAAGGCGACGAUACAUAGCCGACCUGAGAGGGUGAUCGGCCACACUGGGACUGAGACACGGCCCAGACCUCUACGGGAGGCAGCAGUAGGGAAUCUUCGGCAAUGGACGGAAGUCUGACCGAGCAACGCCGCGUGAGUGAAGAAGGUUUUCGGAUCGUAAAGCUCUGUUGUAAGAGAAGAACGAGUGUGAGAGUGGAAAGUUCACACUGAG
rnacentral:rRNA from 1 species